rnacentral:rRNA from 1 species
UACGUAGGGUGCAAGCGUUGUCCGGAAUUAUUGGGCGUAAAGAGCUCGUAGGCGGUUUGUUGCGUCGGCUGUGAAAUCCCGAGGCUCAACCUCGGGUCUGCAGUCGAUACGAGCAAACUAGAGUGUUGCAGGGGAGACUGGAAUUCCUGGUGUAGCGGUGGAAUGCGCAGAUAUCAGGAGGAACACCGAUGGCGAAGGCAGGUCUCUGGGCCUUACCUGACGCGUGAGGAGCGAAAGUGUGGGGAGCGAACAGG